ensembl:lncRNA
CAUGUGACUGGUGUGGCAUCAUGUGACUGGUGUGGUAUCAUGACAGUAUCAUGUGACUGGUGUGGUAUCAUGUGACUGGUGUGGCAUCAUGUGACUGGUGUGGUAUCAUGUGACUGGUGUGGCAUCAUGUGACUGGUGUGGCAUCAUGUGACUGGUGUGGCAUCAUGUGACUGGUGUGGUAUCAUGACAGUAUCAUGUGACUGGUGUGGCAUCAUGUGACUGGUGUGGCAUCAUGACAGUAUCAUGUGACUGGUGUGGCAUCAUGACAGUAUCAUGUGACUGGUGUGGCAUCAUGUGACUGGUGUGGCAUCAUGACAGUAUCAUGUGACUGGUGUGGCAUCAUGACAGUAUCAUGUGACUGGUGUGGUAUCAUGUGACUGGUGUGGCAUCAUGACAGUAUCAUGUGACUGGUGUGGCAUCAUGACAGUAUCAUGUGACUGGUGUGGCAUCAUGACAGUAUCAUGUGACUGGUGUGGCAUCAUGUGACUGGUGUGGCAUCAUGACAGUAUCAUGUGACUGGUGUGGUAUCAUGUAUCAUGACUGGUGUGGCAUCAUGUGACUGGUGUGGCAUCAUGACAGUAUCAUGUGACUGGUGUGGCAUCAUGACAGUAUCAUGUGACUGGUGUGGUAUCAUGUGACUGGUGUGGCAUCAUGACAGUAUCAUGUGACUGGUGUGGCAUCAUGUGACUGGUGUGGUAUCAUGUGACAGGUGUGGCAUCAUGUGACUGGUGGGCAUCAUGUGACUGGUGUGGUAUCAUGUGACUGGUGUGGCAUCAUGUGACUGGUGUGGUAUCAUGUGACUGGUGUGGCAUCAUGACAGUAUCAUGUGACUGGUGUGGCAUCAUGACAGUAUCAUGAGACUGGUGUGGUAUCAUGACAGUAUCAUGUGACUGGUAUAUCAGUGGUUAGGGUUUGGAGUUUUACCUGACUAGGAAUAACUCCUGGCCUUAACAAUGAUGACAAUAUUCACGUUUCUCAAAAAAAUCCUGUUUCCUCACUGAAAUGUCUACUCGUGUCUGUUUUUACAGUGCUUUCUAAAUGUUUUCAAGAACCACACGAGUCACUUCCUCAGUUCUUCCAGACGGGUGAUGUUCUGACAGAGCGGUAUGAACUCACACACAACCUGAAUGUAGUUUAUUACAUUAUUACAUUAAAAUAAAGUUUAUUACAUUAAAAUGUUUUAUUUGUUUACAUAA